rnacentral:rRNA from 1 species
GUGUCAGCCGCCGCGGUAAUACAGAGGGGGCGAGCGUUAUUCGGAAUUAUUGGGCGUAAAGGGCGCGUAGGCGGCCUGGUGUGUCUACGGUGAAAUCCCUCGGCUUAACCGAGGAACUGCCGUGGAAACUGCCGGGCUCGAGGCCGGGAGAGGGUAGUGGAAUUCCCAGUGUAGCGGUGAAAUGCGUAGAUAUUGGGAGGAACACCGGUGGCGAAGGCGGCUACCUGGACCGGUUCUGACGCUGAGGCGCGAAAGCGUGGGGAGCAAACAGGAUUAGAAACCCCCGUAGUCC